rnacentral:rRNA from 1 species
GUAGGGAAUCUUCCGCAAUGGACGAAAGUCUGACGGAGCAACGCCGCGUGAGCGAUGAAGGCCUUCGGGUCGUAAAGCUCUGUUGUUAGGGAAGAACAAGUGCUAGUUGAAUAAGCUGGCACCUUGACGGUACCUAACCAGAAAGCCACGGCUAACUACGUGCCAGCAGCCGCGGUA